AGUGAACGCUGGCGGCAGGCCUAAUACAUGCAAGUCGAACGGCAGCACAGCAGAGCUUGCUCUGUGGGUGGCGAGUGGCGGACGGGUGAGGAAUACAUGGGAAUCUGCCCAGUCGUGGGGGAUAACGUAUGGAAACGUACGCUAAUACCGCAUGCGCCCUACGGGGGAAAGUCGGGGACCGCAAGGCCUGGCGCGAUUGGAUGAGCCCAUGUUCGAUUAGCUAGUUGGCGGGGUAAAGGCCCACCAAGGCGACGAUCGAUAGCUGGUCUGAGAGGAUGAUCAGCCACACUGGAACUGAGACACGGUCCAGACUCCUACGGGAGGCAGCAGUAGGGAAUAUUGGACAAUGGGGGCAACCCUGAUCCAGCCAUGCCGCGUGAGUGAAGAAGGCCCUCGGGUUGUAAAGCUCUUUUGUCCGGAAGAAAAGCAAUCGGUUAAUACCCGGUUGUUCUGACGGUACCGGAAGAAUAAGCACCGGCUAACUUCGUGCCAGC
rnacentral:rRNA from 1 species